AGAUGAUGCGCAUAAAAAGCCAGUAAGUGAGCGUCGUUACGUGAGCAUGAAAAAAUAAAUUAUACUUCAAAGUAACAAAUGUCAAUUUGUGAUUUACUGUAUAAUUAUAGUGACUAUUUUCGCGUGAAAAAAAUAUAUAACAUCGAAAGCAAGUAGUAAAAGAAAGAAAAGAUAAAAAAAUUAACCUUAAUUAACAAGAUUGUCAUUUGUGUUUCGUGUCGACAAGUACUUUCAUAUGUCAUUAUGUUUUCACGGAUUCGAAGAAUAUGGAAGAUCAAGCAAUUACUUUAAAACAAUUAUUUCUAACACUAAAACUAUCCGACAAGAACAUAAAAUAUAGUUUGAAGUAAUCUUUCGUUCCACCGGCGACAGGCGGCGUAUGGUUGUCAGAAAGCAACGCGGGAUAACCGCAUCGCGCAGACCGAAACUAGCAAAAAUAAACACUUUGCCGCGAGGCCAUGAACCAUUAUAUACUAUGUAUAGUUCGUUCAGAGACGUAUCGAAGUCAUAAAUUAUUAUAUCAAUCGGUUGUACGAUUGUCGCUAUAGUGACAUUUCUUAUAUCGUCGAAACAUUUUUCUAGAUUGAUUUCAUAACCUCUUUAUGUUUUUAACAGAUAUCUAGUAUAUAUACAUAUAGUACAUUGGAGUAUAAAGUUUGUCCAAAAAACAAUUAUCAAGAGUCAGCAUAGGAUUAUAAUAAUUUACGAAAAAUAUCGUCAUCGUUUUCUUGGAAAGACGAAAACGAGCACCCAAAGACGAGCGUGCAUUGACGCCGCCCGAUACUGGGUGGUAAGUCCAUCGGUGCAUAGUGGUGCAAUCAGUUGUAGCAACGAUGUUAUAUUGGUAGUGGUGCAUCGUUUACGGUAGAGGGGGCGAAAGUAUGACGAGAAGAGCAACGAAAUGGUUGAAGGGUGGGAGGAAGAAAGAGAUUGUUAAGUUAUGUUAGUCGAUAUACGGGUUUGUUUGCGUAGUCAGUGACGGUGUAGGAGAGCGCGCGGCAACUGGGAGAGUAAAACGGCGCAAAGAAAAGAGAAAAAGAAGAAGAGGGAGGCGAAGUUGCGACCAGGGUGCCAGGGGGUCUGGCCCAAGCCUGUUUGUCGGUCCCGUUGCCCUAUAAUCGUGGUAUACGGAUAAUGGUUUGGGUUAAGGGGACGUCAGGAUGGGCCGUGCUAGAGGGGAAAGAGAUCAGAGUAAAGAACGUGUAUAGAAGAGCCGGCAGCAGCGGCGUCGAGACAGAGCAGUUUCAAACGUCUUGCACUUUCGUAGACGAAAAGGACGAGCCGACGCACACCCAAUCGAGCGAAACUUUCGCUGGCUCGGCUUACCCAUCGUUUGGCAAAGCUUUUCUUUCGAUCUCGUUCUUGUCCAGGGAACCAAGCGAUGAUUUCUGGCCCAGCUAUGCUAGCUUGAAAAUGUAAUUACCGAGAAAGCCAGUGGAGAAUGUUCCGCUGACGCUUGAGGAAUAGUUAUUGAAAAAUAUAAUAUUUUGCUCAUAUUUGGCUGAUUCAAAUACAUUUUUAUAAAAUUUGAAUGAUGUAUAGUUUUAUUAUAUUAGAAAUUAAUUAAUUCAUUGAAGGAUGAAUGAGAUAAUAGACGAAAUAAUUUUCAUGAUAUGCUUGCAUAAAAUUGAUUCUGUUUUCAGGAAGCAGCCACGAGGAAACUCUUCUUACAAUAAUUUUUUCCAUAUAUAUAUCAACAUAAAGUUUUAUAUUACGAAAAACUAAAGCACGAGAUGAAAAGAACCAUGUAUUAAAGAUAACAGGACAAGAAAUUGUAGCAUUGUCCAUCUAUAACAGUGAGUUGAAUGCUUGUUUAACGCGUGUACGAUACGCGAAAGAAUUUGCUGCGAGUUGAGAGGGGGAUUUGCCCGAUUGGUUCGAUGUUUUCUACAUUGACAAACACAGUGCUAGCGCGGGAAGAGGGUUGGAUUCGAUCGUGAAAUUUUUUGGAAGAGUAGAGUUUCAUUAUCUAAACACAUCGUCGUCGAAUAUAUUGACAGGGAGGCGGGAAAAAAAGGGAGGAGGAAAGGGAUGAUGGGGAUGGUGCAGAAGCGGCGGAUGGCGUCGGCGACAGCCGGCAGAGCCACGUCGUCGCCGUCGAACGGACGACGAUGAAACGACGGGCAGGCUCUCUCGUGCAGACGAAACGUGUGGAGUGAGAGACGGAAAGGGAGAAAGAGACAGCCGGGCGCCGAUUCCAGCGACCGGCCGGCUAACCUCGACGCCAACCGUGGAACGUCGCCGACACCGUCGCCGCCACUGGCCGACCCACGACACCACGACGAAGACGACGAUGACGACGAGCACGACGACCACGACGACGAUGUCGACGACGACCACGACGUCGACCAAUGCAAGAAUACUUCUUCUGUUGGCAUCGUGGCAUCGUCACGACGGGGGUGGGACAGUGUGCGUCGGUCGCCAAGCAGGAGGGCGCCCUUCCCUACUCCCAGCCUCCAUUCGCAUCUCCUUUUGCACACCGACGCACAUGUUUGCUUUGGUAUUGUCAGCUGAAUUUCCCGAUCCCGGGAUACGUCAAUAGCGUGAUGUUUUGUUCGGGAAUAAUUAUGAAUCUGUGGACUUACGUGGCGAGCGGUGCCAGCGCGUCUUUACUAUCUCUAACGGGGGUUCCCUUCGUUCGCCCUCCUCUUUAGAAAAACGGAACGACGAUCCCCCAUCCUUUCCUUUCGGUCGCUCCUCGAUCGUAAGAAUCGUUUGUUCUGGGGGAAUGGCGUUUGGUUUUAUGGUUCUUACGGAAUUCAUGUAAUAUCGAUCAAGCUACGAAAGAAAUGUUUUCAAAACCUGUUUACUUCGAAAAGUUUUCCUCUUCGAAUCCGUUUACUCGCGGCUCCUAGGGUAAUCGUAAAUAGAUCGACGAUUCAAAUUAAGGCCGCGUCUGUCUUGACGUGUGAAAGAUUAUUAGUUUUUUUGUUUUAUUAAUCAAAAAAUGCAACAGUAUAUUGUGUGCGUAUUUAUAUAUAUAUAUAUAUAUAUAUAUAUAUAUGAAGUAUCGUUUUUCUCUGUCGAAUAUUACUAUUAGAUAUCUGAAAAGAAUUUAUUUUUUAUUGAAGUACGUAUCUUUUAUUAAAAUAUUUCUUAUGCAUUCUAUCUUUGAAGUAAUAUGAUAGCAACUUCGUUAUAAAAAAUAAGAAAAAAAGAAAGAGCUACAUAAAGAUUCGUAUCGUAAAAUAAUAAACAUAAUUGAGACAUAAUUUGUUAAAAACAUUACAAGAAUAUAAAACUUGAACAAAUGGCGAUUCGAACGGUUGAAUUGCCACGAGUACUCCUAGAUCCAGCACGAUAACUCAUUUUUUCGGCGGAUAGAAACGGCGCCUGUGUGUAUAGAGGAUGUUCCCUCCCGGUACCCAUGUUUUAACCCAUGCCAGCGCCUACCCCCGGCAUAUCCACGAAAAGUAGAAGCGAGCCAUUGGGGCGGAAGAUGACUACGACGGCUCCAGCGAGGGGCGCCAAGUGUUUUGAUGCUUGUUAUGCGAAGGGGAGCUUGAUAAACAACGAGUUGGAGAACGAAGCCGGACCUAGAUCGUCACCAUCACCUCUUCCACCCACACUCGAAACCGACAUCCGACUGACUGGCUACGAUUGUGUCAUUACAAGAGAAUUGAUAUCACGAUACUAUAACCGUCCCUUCUUGUUUUUUCCUCUAUAGUAUAUACAGGAGGAGGGUACGACUCGUAAAGUGGAAUCGCUAACGCGCGUUGAUUGCUUGGCAACAAAUUGAAAUCGCCCGGUACCGUUACAAAUGUGCAAUAAUCCGUGGAAUCUAAAAGUAUCCGGUAGACCUUAUUUCGAUUUGUAAGUUUUCUAAAUAAAUAUUCGAUAUUAUGGAUAUAGGGAAAAUUGAUGAAGAGAUGAAGAAAUGAUUAUCGUGAUAAUAGAUUACUGUAAUGGUAUAAAAGCUGUUUUGAAUAAUCGAAUUUUUUAGAAAUUUUUUUAAAAAAUUGAAUAAAUUUAAUAAAUCAUGGAAAAAGAUUAAAACAUUUAGUUUUAAUCAAUUAGAUAAAUUCUUGAAACAUCACGUAUAUCAAUGAAUUUAAUAUUUGCAGUAAAACAAAUUUAAAAAAAUCAAUAUUUAACAGAAAAAAAAUAAGGAUUCUUAUUCUUUUUUCUCUUCUCUAUUAAUUGUUCUAAUUAUAUUAUUAAAAAAACAAUAUGAAAUAUGAAUUUAACAUGUAAUAAAAUAUUAACAAAAUAAAUUUUGAAACUUUAUUUGAA